GGCGGCGUGCUGCUCAGUCCGUUUUUGAUUUACGUGCUGCUGGCACUGCUGGUCACCGGAGCCUUGCGCAUGCUGUUGCGCCUGACACCGGUCGGCCGCUGGAUCUGGCAUGAAGCACUGUUUGAUUGCGCCUUG
rnacentral:sRNA from 2 species